rnacentral:rRNA from 1 species
GCAGUCGAGCGGACAGAUGGGAGCUUGCUCCCUGAUGUUAGCGGCGGACGGGUGAGUAACACGUGGGUAACCUGCCUGUAAGACUGGGAUAACUCCGGGAAACCGGGGCUAAUACCGGAUGCUUGUUUGAACCGCAUGGUUCAAACAUAAAAGGUGGCUUCGGCUACCACUUACAGAUGGACCCGCGGCGCAUUAGCUAGUUGGUGAGGUAAUGGCUCACCAAGGCAACGAUGCGUAGCCGACCUGAGAGGGUGAUCGGCCACACUGGGACUGAGACACGGCCCAGACUCCUACGGGAGGCAGCAGUAGGGAAUCUUCCGCAAUGGACGAAAGUCUGACGGAGCAACGCCGCGUGAGUGAUGAAGGUUUUCGGAUCGUAAAGCUCUGUUGUUAGGGAAGAACAAGUACCGUUCGAAUAGGGCGGUACCUUGACGGUACCUAACCAGAAAGCCACGGCUAACUACGUGCCAGCAGCCGCGGUAAUACGUAGGUGGCAAGCGUUGUCCGGAAUUAUUGGGCGUAAAGGGCUCGCAGGCGGUUCCUUAAGUCUGAUGUGAAAGCCCCCGGCUCAACCGGGGAGGGUCAUUGGAAACUGGGGAACUUGAGUGCAGAAGAGGAGAGUGGAAUUCCACGUGUAGCGGUGAAAUGCGUAGAGAUGUGGAGGAACACCAGUGGCGAAGGCGACUCUCUGGUCUGUAACUGACGCUGAGGAGCGAAAGCGUGGGGAGCGAACAGGAUUAGAUACCCUGGUAGUCCACGCCGUAAACGAUGAGUGCUAAGUGUUAGGGGGUUUCCGCCCCUUAGUGCUGCAGCUAACGCAUUAAGCACUCCGCCUGGGGAGUACGGUCGCAAGACUGAAACUCAAAGGAAUUGACGGGGGCCCGCACAAGCGGUGGAGCAUGUGGGUUUAAUUCGAAGCAACGCGAAGAAACCUUACCAGGUCUUGA